GACGGAGGGCGCAAGCGUUGUUCGGAAUUACUGGGCGUAAAGCGCGGGCAGGUGGUCCUUUAAGUCCUUUGUGAAAUCCCGGGGCUCAACUCCGGAUGUGCAGAGGAUACUGGAGGACUAGAGACCGGUAGAGGCGAGUGGAAUUCCUGGUGUAGCGGUGGAAUGCGUAGAUAUCAGGAAGAACACCAGUGGCGAAGGCGGCUCACUGGCCCGAUACUGACGCUGAGGCACGAAAGCGUGGGGAGCAAACAGG
rnacentral:rRNA from 1 species